AGCGAUGAACCAGGCGCCGCGGCGGCGAUCCCCAGGGAUCGGCCGCCGAGGAAAGUCCGGACUCCGCGGGGCGCGAUGCCGGGUAACGCCCGGGCGGGGGGAGGGGUUCCAAGACCGCCGGUUUUGGAAACAAAAGGCCCCCUGACAGACAGCGCAGCAGAAAGAAUACCGCGAAGGACCGCCGGCUUGUCCGGCGGUCCCCGUAAGGGUGAAAUGGCGGGGUAAGAGCCCACCCCGGCGGCGGCGACGCCGCCGGUAUCAUUCUGGCGCCGCCGGGAGCCGGUUUUGGGGUUUCGCGCAAGCGAUCCUCAAGACUCUUCCGGCGGGCCGGAAAAGGCAAGCCUCAUCGGGAGCAAGGUCAAGCAAUGCGUAAGAGGGGAAAACCCUUUUGCCGGGGCCCGCCGGUUAAGCAUGGGUAGACCGCCGGAGACGGCCGGUAACGGCCGUCCCAGACAGAUGGCGCCGGUUUGGCCGCGUAAACGCCCGACGGCGGGGUCUUUCGCGAGACCCCGUCCAAAAGCGUGAACACCGGCGAAACCAAACAGAAUCCGGCUUAUGGUUCAUCGCUUUUU
rnacentral:RNase_P_RNA from 1 species